rnacentral:rRNA from 1 species
AAAGGGCCGCGGUAAUUUGACCGUGCAAAGGUAGCAUAAUCAAUAGUCUCUUAAUUGGAGGCUUGUAUGAAUGGUCGGAUGAAGGGUUAACUGUCUUUUCUGAGUUUAUGAAUUUAACUUUUAAGUGAAAAGUCUUAAAUUAGCUAGGGGGACGAUAAGACCCUAUAAAACUUAAUUUAAUUUAAUGAUUUAAAACUAAUUAGCUCCAAAGUUUAUAACUUUAAUUUUAAAUUGUGUUGGGGCGACAAUGAUAUAAAUGUAACUGUCAAUUUAAUUUAAUAAAAUUUUUUAGGUUUUGAUCCAAUAUUAUUGAUUAUAAGACUAAGUUACUUUAGGGAUAACAGCGUAAUUUUCCUUGAGAGUUCAUAUCGACAGGAGUAGUUGCGACCUCGAUGUUGAAUUAAGAUUUCUAGUAGGCGCAGCCGUUUAUUAAGUGGGUCUGUUCGAACCUUUAAAAUCUUACAUGAUUUGAGUUC